UACGGAGGGUGCAAGCGUUAUCCGGAUUCACUGGGUUUAAAGGGUGCGUAGGUGGGCUGGUAAGUCAGUGGUGAAAUCUCCGGGCUUAACUCGGAAACUGCCAUUGAUACUAUCAGUCUUGAAUACCGUGGAGGUCAGUAGAAUAUGUCAUGUAGCGGUGGAAAUGCUUAGAUAUGACAUAGAAUACCAAUUGCGAAGGCAGCUGGCUACACGAAUAUUGACACUCAGGCACGAAAGCGUGGGGAGUCAAACAGG
rnacentral:rRNA from 1 species